UCUUUAUAAAAUUCUCAUCUAUUUUCGGGAAUCUUACGCAAGACUAUUGGCCUACUUGGUCUCUCUCCAAUCCCCUGUUUCUUUCUUCUUUCCAACACCCGAAGCCAAGGCGGCCAACGUCUUUCAACUCUUUGACGACUUGUUUAAGAUUAUGGGGUCCUGGGAAUUGCGUGAUUUUGGCCUACAACUUGUGGGUGGAGUUGAUUCAGAGCUUCAAAAGCUGAAAAUAAAGUUGAAGGUGGUUGGAUUUCUGCUCAGUCUAGCUAAAGAAAUUCAAUUGAUAAAGGACGAUGAGACUUCGUUCUAUAUCUUCAGGUUCAAUGUUCAAAAAGUCUCCAAGAUCGAAGAGCUGAAAGUGAUUUCUAGAGGGAAAUCAAGGAGCAAAGUUCAAAUGCAUCAACUAAGCAAGGUGUUUAUGUCACAUUUUAUUUGACACCCCUGGUUGGUAUGGGUGGAGUUGGCAAGAAGAGGGAUCACAAGGCUGUAGAAGUUUUCUAGUUUGAGAAAAAGGUUUGGGUUUGUGUCUCUGACAGUUUUGAUAUUCUCACCAUUUUGAAGGUACUUCUUUAGCCACAAAAACAUCCUUGAAAUUCACUUGUGCCUAAUUUAAAAGACGUGUAAGAUAAAAUGGAAAAUGUAGAGAAGGGAAAAAGCUAGGUUUUUGCUUGUUUUGGAUGAUGUUUGGAACGUGGGCAAAUAAAAACCAAAGGCAUGCGAAUUUUGAUAGCAUAAACAUUAAUGCAUAAAAAAAAUAUUUAGGUUGCCAGAGAGUUUUGUUGAAAAGUGCACUUAAACAUCCUCCGGCAGUUAUGACCCUCCGGGUCUUUCAGACGGGGGAAAUGAUAUAAAAAUACAAUAUAUAGGUUGACCAAGGUGAUAUUCUCCUAGCAUUAAGGUUAAGCUAUCACUAUCUUCCUUCACAUAUGAAAGAAGCCUCACAUAUAGUGCAAUUUUCCCCAAAAAGAUGUUUUGUUUAUUGUGCAAUAUUUCCUAAAGUUACGAUUUCGAGGGGGAUAAACUUGUCAUCUUGUGGAUGGAGGAAAGUAUAAUUCAACUAUGAGAUUAAGCAACUAUAUUUGGUCAGGGAGUGUUUUCAUCGUUUAUGAUCAAGAUCACUUUGUCAACAAUCAAGUAGCUAUUGUUCUAAAUGUGUAACGCAUGACCUUGUCCAUAAUCUAACUCAAUCAGUUCUUAUUGAAAUCAAUAAGUUUAAGGAAGCCGAUACCAAGCUAGCAAAAAUUGUUGAAAGUAUUUAUCUAGAAUUAUUCUUGCAAGUAUUUAUCAAUCUUUAUGUAUGGUUGGACUACCAUUCAGCUGUAGUUCAUUGUAAUAUGUUGUUGGAGCUCAAAAAAUUAAGAGCACUAUCUUUAGAAAUGUACUAUGUCACACAUUUACCAAUCAUUCAAUAGGAGGUUUGAUGCAUCUAACGUCUUUCUACUUUUCUUAUAAGAUGAUCAAAAUUCUGUGGACCAUCUUUCUUUGUUGGAAAGACUUUUUACUAAGAAGGGUAAGAACUGGGUUGCACAAUUCACAAGUUUCCCACUGACUUCUAGCUGCUAAAUUAUCUGACUCUUUCAAAUAUUUCCAAGGUUGGAAAUGGAUUAAAGAAAGGAUCUCAAAGAGUAAAAGUUUGUAAGAUUGCCAAAUGUGAUGAGAUCAUGGACUAAUGGCAAAGGUCAGCUUAUUUUAUGAGUCAUUGCAGGGGAUGCAUAGCCUCACUUCUCAUAAAAAGUAAUUAAUUAAAGAUUGUGGAAGUCUUGUUUCUUUUCCAAAUAUCAGUUUUCUUCCCAUUUGGAUUCUCUUUAGAUUUGUUAUUGUAAGAUUCUACAAACCUUAUCAAAAGGACUGAGUAUCUCUUAUUGCUAAAAGAACUGUGAAGAGAGGGUAGAGGAAAAUACUGUUGAAAGAUCACUCAAAUCCCUAUCGUUCAAAUAGAUAGCAGAUUCAUCUACAAUUCAGACAAGGAAAAAGCAUUGAGCUUUAUUUUAGACCAACCAGUCAGACGAUCAUUUCAUUGCUUCCAAGAUGAGUUGAGCUUCAGGGAUGAAACAUUUUGAGCAGAAUCUGAGCAAUUUUAGACCUCAAAAUGAAAAAAUUGAUCAGAAAAUUAUCUCAUUCAAUUCCAGAUUCAAGUUUGUUUUCAAAUGACCGAUCAUUGAGGUGAAGUGGAAAUAGACUGUGAUUGCUAAGCCAUUACAGUUUCCUUCUUCUGCUUCAUGGAAGAAAUUGAUGAACAGAACGUUUCAGUGGCUUUCAAGUUUGAGCUGUGCUUUUGAUCCUUCUAAUGAUUGCAUCUGUUAUUCAGGGUUUACUUCUCUGUGGAGUUUAGCGGCUCACCAUUGCCAUAAUGCACAUGAAAGUUUUGAAAAUCAAAGAGAUUGGAAUCUCAUCAACUCGCUAACACUUUUGUGUCAGCAACCUACUCUCCUAGGGUAAUGAUUGCAUCUGUUAAUCAGGGUUUACUUCUCUGUGGAGUUUAGCGGCUCACCAUUGCCAUAAUGCACAUGAAGUGUUUCGGAAGUUUUGAAAAUCAAAGAGUUUGGAAUCUCAUCAACUCGCUAACACUUUUGUGUCAGCAACCUACUCUCCUGGGGAAUUUUGUUGGCAGCUAAUUCCAGAAGCUUCAUUGCUGUCUCCUGAAUUACACAAAUGAUAGCCAAAAAAGCACUUUUACACUUCAUAAGGUAUCUUAACCGUAGUGUCACGAACUUAUUGCAAUGACAGGAGCAAUGCAAAGCUUGAAAAUUUGCAGUACUUGCAGGGCAGCAAUGUCAGCCCAGAUGGUUUGUUCAGCUCUUCUUCCUCUGUUAUAUAUAUAUAUAUAUAUAGAUGCUAGUGAAUGGGGGUGUUACAGAAUUUUAUAGAUAAAGAGUAUUGUAAAUUUUGAGCUCUUGUUAGUUCAUAAGUGUCAAAAUUUUCUGAAAUUUGUGUUCAUAAAGCAAGAUAAAGUGGUAGAUGUUGACAUGAUUUUGUUGAACUACAUUAAUAUGGUAAUCUUGUGCGUGUAA